rnacentral:rRNA from 1 species
CACCAGACUCCUACGGGAGGCAGCAGUGAGGAAUAUUGGUCAAUGGGCGGGAGCCUGAACCAGCCAAGCCGCGUGAGGGAAGAAGGUACAGCGUAUCGUAAACCUCUUUUGUCAGGGAACAAAGGCGGGGACUAGUCCCCGGAUGAGGGUACCUGAAGAAAAAGCAUCGGCUAACUCCGUGCCAGCAGCCGCGGUAAUACGGAGGAUGCGAGCGUUAUCCGGAUUUAUUGGGUUUAAAGGGUGCGCAGGCGGCCUGUUAAGUCAGCGGUAAAGGCCCGGGGCUCAACCCCGGCGAGCCGUCGGAACUGGGGGCCUUGAGUGCGGCGGAGGCAUGCGGAAUGCGCGGUGUAGCGGUGAAAUGCAUAGAUAUCACGCAGAACCCCGAUUGCGAAGGCAGCCUUCCGGCGCCCUACUGACGCUGAGGCACGAAAGUGCGGGGAUCGAACAGGAUUAGAUACCCUAGUA